GGGUACGAUCAUACCAGCACUAAUGCACCGGAUCCCAUCAGAACUCCGCAAUUAAGCGUGCUUGGGCGAGAGUAGUACUAGGAUGGGUGACCUCCUGGGAAGUCCUCGUGUUGCACCCC
rnacentral:rRNA from 1 species